GUAAGGGGAGUUCCUUACUAAGACCUAGACAACCAGGUGAGGGAAGUUCCUUACUAAGACCUAGACAACCAGGUGAGGGGAGUUCCUUACUAAGACCUAGACAACCAGGUGAGGGGAGUUCCUUACUAAGACCUAGACAACCAGGUGAGGGGAGUUCCUUACUAAGACCUAGACAACCAGGUGAGGGGAGUUCCUUACUAAGACCUAGACAACCAGGUGAGGGGAGUUCCUUACUAAGACCCAGACAACCAGGUGAGGGGAAUUCUUUACUAAGACCUACCAGGUGAGGGGUGUUCCUUACUAAGACCUAGACAACAAGGUGAGGGGAGAUCUUUACUAAGACCCAGACAACCAGGUGAGGGGAGUUAUUUACUAAGACCCAGACAACCAGGUGAGGGGAGUUAUUUACUAAGACCCAGACAACCAGGUGAGGGGAGUUCCUUACUAAGACCUAGACAACCAGGUGAGGGGAGUUCCUUACCUAGACCUACCAGGUGAGGGGAGUUCUUUACUAAUUAGAGACCUUAAUUCAUCGAGUACAAGCCCCCCAGGAUCGACUUUGUGAAACCCUGCGCUAGAGUCCAAUGUCACCUCUAUUAGCAAUGACUAACCAACCAGCUGACGCUUUGUCCUACUUCUGAGUGAGAAUGAGUCACCUGUGCUCCCAAAACAGACCACUAGAUGGCAGUAAAUGUCCCUAUAUUCAUACCUUGCUUUAUUGUUUGCACUGUAGGGUACUAAGGGGUAACUGCCCCCCCCCACCCCCCUGUAAUUCCACAAGAUGUCACCAAAUUAUUUCCCCACCACUUCCCUUGCUGCCACUGCUCUUGCUCAACAAAAAUGUCCUCAAUGACAUCACAACCUUUGGAGAUAUUUCAACAAAACUAUUUUGUGGUAAAUUGAUCAAGUUGUAGAUAUAUUCCAAUGAAGUGAGAUCUAUACUUGUUUUUUAAAAUAUACAAGUAGGAAAGCCUUAAGC
ensembl:lncRNA